rnacentral:rRNA from 1 species
AUUGAACGCUGGCGGAAUGCUUUACACAUGCAAGUCGAACGGCAGCACGGGGGCAACCCUGGUGGCGAGUGGCGAACGGGUGAGUAAUACAUCGGAACGUGCCCAAUCGUGGGGGAUAACGUAGCGAAAGCUACGCUAAUACCGCAUACGAUCUACGGAUGAAAGCGGGGGAUCGCAAGACCUCGCGCGAAUGGAGCGGCCGAUGGCAGAUUAGGUAGUUGGUGGGGUAAAGGCUCACCAAGCCAACGAUCUGUAGCUGGUCUGAGAGGACGACCGA